rnacentral:rRNA from 1 species
UGAGUUUGAUCCUGGCUCAGAUUGAACGCUGGCGGCAUGCUUUACACAUGCAAGUCGAACGGCAGCGCGGGGGCAACCCUGGCGGCGAGUGGCGAACGGGUGAGUAAUACAUCGGAACGNACCCAGAAGUGGGGGAUAACGUAGCGAAAGUUACGCUAAUACCACAUACGUUCUACGGAAGAAGGUGGGGGACCUUCGGGCCUCAUGCUUUUGGAGCGGCCGAUGUCUGAUUAGCUAGUUGGUGAGGUAAAGCCUCACCAAGGCGACGAUCAGUAGCUGGUCUGAGAGGACGACCAGCCACACUGGAACUGAGACACGGUCCAGACUCCUACGGGAGGCAGCAGUGGGGAAUUUUGGACAAUGGGGGCAACCCUGAUCCAGCAAUGCCGCGUGAGUGAAGAAGGCCUUCGGGUUGUAAAGCUCUUUUGUCAGGGAAGAAACGGGACUCUCUAAUACAGGGUUCUAAUGACGGUACCUGAAGAGUAAGCACCGGCUAACUACGUGCCAGCAGCCGCGGUAAUACGUAGGGUGCAAGCGUUAAUCGGAAUUACUGGGCGUAAAGCGUGCGCAGGCGGUUUUGUAAGUCUGUCGUGAAAUCCCCGGGCUUAACCUGGGAAUGGCGAUGGAGACUGCAAGGCUAGAGUUUGGCAAGGGGGGUAGAAUUCCACGUGUAGCAGUGAAAUGCGUAGAGAUUGUGGAGGAACACCGAUGGCGAAGGCAGCCCCCUGGGUCAAAACUGACGCUCAUGCACGAAAGCGUGGGGAGCAAACAGGAUUAGAUACCCUGGUAGUCCACGCCCUAAACGAUGUCUACUAGUUGUCGGGUUUUAAUUAACUUGGUAACGCAGCUAACGCGUGAAGUAGACCGCCUGGGGAGUACGGUCGCAAGAUUAAAACUCAAAGGAAUGGACGGGGACCCGCACAAGCGGUGGAUGAUGUGGAUUAAUUCGAUGCAACGCGAAAAACCUUACCUACCCUUGACAUGGUCGGAACCCUGGAGAGAUCUGGGGGUGCUCGAAAGAGAACCGAUACACAG